UCUAUCGGUUAGGACGCCAGAUUUUCAUUCUGGAAAGAGGGGUUCGAUUCCCCUA
rnacentral:tRNA from 1 species